rnacentral:rRNA from 1 species
CAAGGCAGUUAAAAUGCUUUGUAAUUGGAAUGAUAGAAAUUUAAAAACUUUUUAAAGUAUCAAUUGGAGGGCAAGUCUGGUGCCAGCAGCCGCGGUAAUUCCAGCUCCAAUAGCGUAUAUUAAAAUUGUUGCAGUUAAAAAGCUCGUAGUUGAAUUUUUGUUAAAAAUAACCGGUCUGCUUUUAGUAAAAGUGGUAUCUUGGUGUGUUUUUAGCAAUAAUGUCCUUUGAGAUGUUUUUUACUUUAUUGUAAUAAAUAAUGUUGAGGAUUUUUACUUUGAGAAAAUUAGAGUGUUUCUAGCAGGCUAACGCUUUGAAUACUGCAGCAUGGAAUAAUAAGAUAGGAUUUUGGUUCUACAUUAUUGGUUUUAAGAACUAAAUUAAUGAUUGAUAGGGACAGUUGGGGGCAUUUGUAUUUAACUGUCAGAGGUGAAAUUCUUAGAUUUGUUAAAGACAAACUACUGCGAAAGCAU